GAAAUGCGAUAAGUAAUGUGAAUUGCAGAAUUCAGUGAAUCAUCGAAUCUUUGAACGCACAUUGCGCCCGCCAGUAUUCUGGCGGGCAUGCCUGUUCGAGCGUCAUUUCAACCAUCAGGCCCCCGGCUUGUGUUGGGGACCUGCGGCUGCCCGCAGGCCCUGAAAAACAGUGGCGGGCUCGCUGUCACACCGAGCGUAGUAGCAUACAUUCUCGCUCAGGGCGUGCUGCGGGUUCCGGCCGUUAAACGACCUUCAUAACCCAAGGUUGACCUCGGAUCAGGUAGGAAGACCCGCUGAACUUAAGC
rnacentral:misc_RNA from 1 species